rnacentral:rRNA from 1 species
GACGAACGCUGGCGGCGUGCUUAACACAUGCAAGUAGAACGCAGUGGCGAACGGGUGAGUAUUACGUGGGUAACCUGCCCUCCUUUUUGGGAGAAGCCUUGGAAACGGGGUCUAAUACCGAAUAACGGGGGCUGGGCUCGCGGCCUAUGAGUUUGUUGGUGGGGUGAUGGCCUCCCAAGGCGGCGACGGGGAGCCGGCGUGAGCGGGUACACGGCAACAUUGAGACGGAGAUACGGCCCAGACGCCUACGGGAGGCAGCAUUGGGGGAUAGUGCGAAAUGGGCGAAAGCCUGACGCAGCGACGCGGCGAGGGGUAUGGAUGCUUAAGGGUUGUAAACCUGUUACGCUAUCGAACGGGUAGGUGAAGAAGAAGCGCCGGCUAACUACGUGCCAGCAGCCGCGGUAAUAC